GUGGGGAAUAUUGGGCAAUGGGGGAAACCCUGACCCAGCAACGCCGCGUGAAGGAAGACGGUUUUCGGAUUGUAAACUUCUUUUAUCGGGGACGAAAAAAAUGACGGUACCCGAAGAAAAAGCCACGGCUAACUACGUGCCAGCAGCCGCGGUAAUACGUAGGUGGCAAGCGUUGUCCGGAUUUACUGGGUGUAAAGGGCGUGUAGGCGGGACUGCAAGUCAGAUGUGAAAUACCAAGGCUUAACCUUGGGGCUGCAUUUGAAACUGUAGUUCUUGAGUGAUGGAGAGGCAGGCGGAAUUCCUAGUGUAGCGGUGAAAUGCGUAGAUAUUGGGAGGAACACCAGUGGCGAAGGCGCCUUUCUGGACUGUGUCUGACGCUGAGAUGCGAAAGCCAGGGUAGCGAACGGGAUUAGAAACCCUGGUAGUCC
rnacentral:rRNA from 1 species